rnacentral:lncRNA from 1 species
CCGCUCCGGCGAGUGGACGGUGCCUGGGCGGCCGCCCCGCGGGCAAAGGUCUCGGGACCCGGUCUGUCAGACCUCGGACGUGGAAACUGGCAUCUCCCCUGGCUCGGAGUCCGCCCUCUCGGGGCGCCAGCGCAGUUGAUCGAUGUGCCUGAGCUGGCCUCUCUGAUUCCACAGCUGUCCCCGUGAGCAGGCGGCUCCAUGCUUCAAAGGCCCUGGAUUCCUGGGACAUGAUGCCACCUUUCCUGAAGUCUGGGCUCCUUACCUUCUCUCUGCUCCGGGCAUACCAUUCCCAAAGGACAGUGAUACUGCAAUGAGCAUCUGCUGUGCCCACCCCACGUGUUCUGGACCGGCUGGGGUCCCUGGGAACGGUGCACCGCGCAGUGCGGGGGCGGCAUUCAAGCUCGCCGCAGAACCUGCGAGAACGGGCCUGACUGUGGGGGCUGCAAUGUGUUGGUUGAAACCGAGGAUGCAGAACAUGUGGACAUGGAGGCCUGACUAAUUAUCAUCAGGUGCUGUUCUUGGAAGAUGGGCAGAAUGUGCAUCCUCAGGUAGGGACUUUCACCUCUGUGAGCCUCGGCUUCCCUGUCUGUCAAUGGGGUAGGUGCAGGCUCUUCUUGCCUCCCAUAUAUGGACGACACAGUAAUAUCAGGUAUGUUCUCAGGCUGUGGAUAUUAGGCCUGUUGUACGUACUGUGGAUAGCUGUUCUAGUAGCAUCUGGUGUCCGAAGGUGUUAUUUAGAGGAAAGUCAAGUGGGUUGGCCUUCUGGUUUUUGCGUUCUAUCUCUUGCUGGUGGCCAGGGACAUCAGGCUGUCAUACCCACUGAAUGAAUACAUCUCCUGUGGCAGCAGGAUGCCUAUCCAUGCCCACGCCAUAGUGUGUCACCUGACUCCUGUGCAGAUGGGAAUGUGUGUCAUCGAAACCUCUCAGCAUGUUCUUUCUCCUGUUAGGCUGCAGGAAAAAUAAUAUCAUACUCAAGCUAUUCAUUGAUACAGUAUAUGGUCAAAAUAUUCAAAUUCAUUAGACGCUUAACAACUUCUUAUGUGGGCAGAUCUAUUUGAGAAUACGUGUGUCUAUUGAGUUAGACUUAGAAUAAGGAGAUGUCAUGUCUUGAGUGUUCAGUUUCCCAGGCUAAUACGCAAUGGUUUUACCAUCAGGACCUGAUUCUGGACAUUUUUAUCUCACUACGUGAGGAAUGGCCUUGGUAGUGACCCUGGAUCCGUAGAAGUCUGAUGGCUGUUUUUCUCCUAAACUGAAUGAGAAUGUCCCAUUUUUAGCUCUAGAAUUCUGCUAUUUCCCCUAUAUUAUUAUGGAAAUUGUACUUUUUUGAAUGGUUGAUUUAACAACAACCAUAACAAAAACCUAAGGUAAGACCAAGGACAGCGCUCUGUUGUAGGACAUCUACCAGAAGUAUAAACCCAGACAAGAUAUUUAUCUUCUUAAAGCUCAAUUUCCCCCCUUGUAGGAAAGGGGAAAUAAUACCCAAAUGUGUAUCAUUGUUGUGGAAAUAAAUGAGGUAAUAUACGUAUAUCAUUAAGUACACUUUUGGAACAUAAUGCAAUAAUUAGUAGAUAUUAGCUUUGGAUGGGAAAAUUAGUUUUUGGCUAAUUGUCUUCAAGUAUACCCUUUGCUAUGCAAAAAAAAGUUUCUGAAUUCUUUCUCUUGUAGAGAAUUGUCUGUCUUAAUUCCACUAGUUUCAACGAGGCCAGCCGUAUUAUGUAGUCGCUUUUAUUUUUUCAUCCUAAUCUACUUUUAGUGAGCCUAAACACUUUAUAAAGUUCCUGAGUUGUAAAUUAUUGCUAGUUUUGAAGAUUUUUUUUAAGAUUAAUUAACGGAAUCCUAUUCACUUAGGGGUUCUUGGCAAAUAAAUAUGCCACACACAUAGCUAAAACAUGAAAAAGAACAUGAGACUUUUUCCUGAGGUUUAAGUUGCCAAGCAAAACUUAAACCAUGCUCUAAACUUGACUUUCAAACAGGGUUCUUUUCAUAUUGGAGAUAGUUAUCAGUCCCUUUAGGGAAAAAAAUUGAAUGAAGUCUUUGAAUUCCAUCAUCUCUUUCUGCAUCCACCUUGAGAAUGAAAGUGACAAGGACCUUAAUCAAAAUUUUGUUAUCUAGCUUUGGGAUAGCAAAUGUAAAUACUGACACUAAGACAGCCUUCAGUCAUUCAGUCAAAGCCCCCCGCCCCCCACCCAACUGCUUCCUGUAUGUUUAGUCAGGCACAAAGUCCCACUUGAAUAGAAUUUGAUUUAGAGAGUAACUGGACUUUUAGUGCCAUUUGGGAAUACAAUCCAAUUUGAUGGAACAAUGGUACAAAUGUGCCUAAUUACACAGAUGUAAAACCUUUUGCAAAUGACUUUUCAAUGACACUUCCUUAUCUAAAAUUUCUAUAUAAUCUCCAGAGUAAUCCACUUGAGCUAUGUGACUUAGUUUGUUACACUGAAAGAAUUUGUUCAGGUUCAUUGAAGUAUUCUGUUCCUAUUCUGGUGAAGGCAGGGAGUUCUCCCCUUUCAGCCAGUACCCCUGUUCUACCCAGAAAUGGAAGCCUCUUGCUGCUGUUGGUAAUGACAGUGCCAUUCCAUGCUGAAAGGGAAGCAUCGGUAGGGAUGUCUUUUUGCUAUUUGUCAUGUGUAGUAAAGAAUGUUAACUAAAUAAUUAACUUGAUAAAUGAGUAAAUAACAGCUUCUAGUUCCAGCCUUUGCCCUCCAGAGCCUCAAACCAGCUCCAUCAGUUCCAUCUGGCGUGACUAGCACACCUUCUUAUUCUCCAGCCCCAUUCUGGUUCUAAUGAUGGAAACGUACACCUGACUGGUUACUUAGAAGAAAGCUACCCAGGCUGACCCCUCUUCAUUGUGAGUCCUUGGCUUCUCCCUUUCCAAUGCUCAAGGAGCUCAGACCCUGAGAAACUGACUUAACCUCAUUAAAAAUACACAAGGGCAGGUAGAUAGCGAUCUGAAUAUUCGUGCUGCGAUGGAUUUAGCAUCUGUUUGUUUUUAUUCUUUGGUAACACUCUUUUGCUAUUUUGCAAGAAACCCCUGAUAUCAAUGAGCUUAAAAAUGGAAAGUACAUGCUCCCAAGAAAUUCGGUAUUGAACAUCUACCUCCCAAGAACACCGAUGGCGAAUACGUGACUUGUGCAAAGUGUUUUCCCGUCCACCAUAGCAGCUUGUUGUGAUAUUCCUGACCAUACAAAAUCCAGAAGAUGAAAAACAGCUGGAGGUGCACAAGCAUCUGCUCCAGGGUCCAUAAGUGUGUUAAGAAGGGCGUGUCCAAACCACGAACAUGAUAGUGCAGCUGCAGUGGUCAGGUUUACACACCACUCUUCAGAUUGUGGCUUUGUUUUAGGUCACAUGAGUUACUGUUUUCUUCGAUUUUUAAAAAAAAUUUUGUUAUAGCUGACUUACAGUGUUCUGUCAAUUUCUGUUGUACAGCAAAGUGACCCAGUUAUAUAUACAUUGAUGUAUAUACCUUUUUUUCACAUUAUCCAACAUCAUGUCCCAACACAAGUGAUUAGAUACAGUUCCCUGUGCUAUACAGCAGGAUCUCACUGCUUAUCAGUUGUUCUCUAACUUAGUUCUUUUGAUUCCAAAUUUCCUUUUACAUGAACAAAAGAUAAACACUGUAGUUAAUAUUAGCUCUGAUAGUAGAAAUAAUUCCCAGCAUUGAUGACGUCAGUUUAAUAUCACUAUUACCAGAGGUUUCAAAUAGAAAGUCAGAUACUUCUAAUAACAGGUAACUUUUUUCAUCUAAUAUACAGAUUCAGAGUAACACUGUUGCUAGACUCAAUCAUGUAGUUGAACACAAAGAGACAGUUGAUUCCUGACUCUAGGAAUCAACUGUCCCAACUAUACCUUCUUAAGGCAAUCAGUUGGUGAUUAGAUUUGGUGAGAGUUUAAGAAUACUGGUUAGAGAAAUGUAAACAUCCUUUCAAAUUCCCUGUAUUUCCCUUAUGCAUCUGAGCAAUGUAAUAAAAACAGAUUUUAGUGGUUUGGUUACACUCUGAUAGUCUCUAUUUAGAGACUGAAAUAUUAAUCAAAUCUCAUAAAGGUAGGUAAAUAAAAACUUCAAAAGCAGUUCUUUUUAGUUACUUACCAAAGUUCUUCCAGAUGAUCGUUUAGGAACAUGCUGUUGAAGCAUCUUAGGCUACAGAACUGAUAGGAAUCAAGGAAAAAAGGGAAGGUAGAAUACGAGCACCCCAACCUAACUAGGCUUAUCUAUUUUCUUAAGUCAUAAUGAUGUAGUAAACAUGCACUAAAAUGCAAAAUUCCUCUUUCACUGAUGCUCAUACAGUUGUUCUCUUUUGAGCAAACAAUCGUUUUACCCUUGACGUGUGUGUGCCGUCCAGAUUCAUGUUGACGCGGUUAACGUAUAUAUAAGUAUGCAAACAUGUAGAGAGAGAUGGAGUUGGCUGGUUCACAAUGUUGAUGGAAUAAUGGCGUGUAUUUUUUCUUGCUAAGCAUUUAUUGCUGAAAAUAUCUUGGGAUUAUUUUUAUAUUCAAAACAUAUGAAGUUCUCCUUUUUCUUUCUAACUGCGGCGGCUCAUGCGCUGGUGGGCACUUAGGUUGUUACCAGUUAGUGUGCUGCUACGAGUGAAGCUUCCAGCCCGUCCUUGCCAUGUCCAUGUCCUUUUUUCACACAAGUGAGCAUUUCUCUAGGAGGGAUGGGCAUUUUAGAUCGAACAGAUAAAAAUAGAUAAGUUUCUUUAAAAAUCUACAUCCACUUGGAACUGCCCAAAUGGCAUACAAUCUUACCAUGUGCACUACGCCCUCAAUAACACUUUGGAUAGGCGAUCCCAUCGUGGCACAGUGGUUAAUGAAUCUGACUAGGAACCAUGAGGUUGCGGGUUUGAUCCCUGGCCUUGCUCAGGGGGUUAAGGAUCCGGCAUUGCCGUGAGCUGUGGUGUAGUUUGCAGAUGCGGCUUGGAUCCCACGUUGCUGUGGCUCUGUCGUAGGCCAGCGGCUACAGCUCUGAUUCGACCCCUAGCCUGGGAACCUCCAUAUGCCGUGUGUGCGGCUCUAGAAAAGGCAAAAAGACAAAAAAAAAAAA